rnacentral:rRNA from 1 species
UUGAAGGAGCUUGCUCCUGAUUGAUAAACAUUUGAGUGAGUGGCGGACGGGUGAGUAACACGUGGGUAACCUGCCCUAAAGUGGGGGAUAACAUUUGGAAACAGAUGCUAAUACCGCAUAAAACCUAACACCGCAUGGUGUAGGGUUGAAAGAUGGUUUCGGCUAUCACUUUAGGAUGGACCCGCGGUGCAUUAGUUAGUUGGUGAGGUAAAGGCUCACCAAGACCGUGAUGCAUAGCCGACCUGAGAGGGUAAUCGGCCACACUGGGACUGAGACACGGCCCAGACUCCUACGGGAGGCAGCAGUAGGGAAUCUUCCACAAUGGACGAAAGUCUGAUGGAGCAACGCCGCGUGAGUGAAGAAGGUUUUCGGAUCGUAAAACUCUGUUGUUGGAGAAGAAUGUAUCUGAUAGUAACUGAUCAGGUAGUGACGGUAUCCAACCAGAAAGCCACGGCUAACUACGUGCCAGCAGCCGCGGUAAUACGUAGGUGGCAAGCGUUGUCCGGAUUUAUUGGGCGUAAAGCGAGCGCAGGCGGUUUCUUAAGUCUGAUGUGAAAGCCUUCGGCUCAACCGAAGAAGUGCAUCGGAAACUGGGAAACUUGAGUGCAGAAGAGGACAGUGGACUCCAUGUGUAGCGGUGAAAUGCGUAGAUAUAUGGAAGAACACCAGUGGCGAAGGCGGCUGUCUGGUCUGUAACUG